CUCGAGGCUGUCCACUAGCCCCCAGAGCCCCGCUGCCAACGUCGGGCCGCAGAGGGGAUCCCGCGGGGCCGAAGGAAUCCUCCCGGGGAGUUAAGCCUGGCCUCGGACCCUGGAACCUCUUGGGCCGGACGCCAGGAGGAGGGAAGGAGGAGGGGGCCAAGCGCUCCUCACAGACCCUGCGGGUCCGCUGCUCAAGGGGAUUCAGAGGCUGCCUGUGAAUGAAGACACUGGGUCCAUGGACGAAGGCAUGGAGCAGACCCCAGCCACCCCACACUGGAUGAGGGAACACGAGUUCGGAUGUCAGGCUCCCAGUACAGAUACAAAGGAGUCGAUGUCUUGGGAAGAAUGCCUGAAAUACUUUAGAGUCUGUGUGCUACGGACCCGAGCAAAAUCAUACCUCAGUCAUGACCUUCAGUCUCCGAAGCAAUGAUUUUUGCUAACUUGACAAUAGGCACCAACAGCAACACAUUCUCAGCACUAGACAAUCCUCCCAAAUAUCCCCAGAGACCAGAGCCAUGAAAACUAUGCUAAGACUUGUGAGCAGUUUUUCUAUAUUUCAUUCUCUCUCUUCUGGUUUUGAAAUGCAUGCUUAUCUUUUUGAAAACCACCCAUUGUGGCUUGUGAACACCAGUGUGCUUCUAGCAUCUUGUUUUCCAACCCUCAGUCCCUUUUUGCUCUUAAAAGGGGACCCUCAUAUCUCCAGCUUCUGCUGUUCCUGCUUGAGGAAGUUGUAGAAUUCAGCCAACUACUGACAGUCUUCUAGAACAUUCAUUCACCCAUGGAUCUCCUACUGUCAAGUAUGUGAAGUGUAUUCUCGGCACCACUGACCUGUGUUAGACACAGUGGUGAACAGCAAGGGUAUUUGCUCCAAUGAAGUCGGUGGGGAAUCCAGACGUCAGACAAAUAAUGAUAGAAUUGCAGUCGCGCGGAUUGGUGCACUGAGUAACUCAGGACAGCAUGUUUUAGGACUGUGGAAAGCUUCCCUUUGCUUAGGCUGCUCCCUGAGCAUUUUGGAGGAAGUUUGCCAGCCUUAGUGGGUGUUUUAGGUAAACAGAAAAGCGUGUCUGGACACCAUUUGCAGGAAGGAACAGAAAACAUACAAAGAACUGAAGGAAACCCCAUGUACCUCGUAUGCCAAGAGCAAGGGACUUCGGCAUGAUCGAAGUACGGAUGACAAUUAGCUAGGUCUUACAGAUUAGGUGAAGAAUUUGUAUCAUGACUCUCAACAGUCGUUUCAGACAAUUUAAGGAUUUUUGUCUAGGAGAAAGGAGGCAUUAAAAGAAAACGUCUAAUUUGCAUACCCAUUCUGAGCAUGGUUUAUUGAGUUGAGCAACAGUGGCUUUGGGAGGCAGAUACGGGAGACUGUUGAGGUCCACCAGGUGAGAGAGGACGAUUCUUCUGAUAAAGAUGAUGAAAAUGAACAUGAGGGGGAGCAGCACAUGGACUUGAGAAAAACUUCCUCAGAAAGAAGGAAGCAGGGGCGCCUGGGUGGCUCAGUGGGUUGAGCCUCUGCCUUCGGCUCAAUCUCAGUCCUGAGAUUGAGCCCUACAUCGGGCUCUCUGCUCACUGGGGAAACUGCGUCCACGUCCACCCCCUCUCUGCUUGCCUCUCUGCCUACUUGUGAUCUUUGUCUGUCAAAUAAAUAAAUAAAUAAAUAAAAUCUUUGGGGGG